GACGAACGCUGGCGGCGUGCUUAACACAUGCAAGUCGAACGGAAAGGCCCCUUCGGGGGUACUCGAGUGGCGAACGGGUGAGUAACACGUGGGUGAUCUGCCCUGCACUUCGGGAUAAGCCUGGGAAACUGGGUCUAAUACCGGAUAGGACCACGGGAUGCAUGUCCUGUGGUGGAAAGCUUUUGCGGUGUGGGAUGGGCCCGCGGCCUAUCAGCUUGUUGGUGGGGUGACGGCCUACCAAGGCGACGACGGGUAGCCGGCCUGAGAGGGUGUCCGGCCACACUGGGACUGAGAUACGGCCCAGACUCCUACGGGAGGCAGCAGUGGGGAAUAUUGCACAAUGGGCGCAAGCCUGAUGCAGCGACGCCGCGUGGGGGAUAACGGCCUUCGGGUUGUAAACCUCUUUCAGCAGGGACGAAGCGCAAGUGACGGUACCUGCAGAAGAAGCACCGGCCAACUACGUGCCAGCAGCCGCGGUAAUACGUAGGGUGCGAGCGUUGUCCGGAAUUACUGGGCGUAAAGAGCUCGUAGGUGGUUUGUCGCGUUGUUCGUGAAAACCGGGGGCUUAACCCUCGGCGUGCGGGCGAUACGGGCAGACUGGAGUACUGCAGGGGAGACUGGAAUUCCUGGUGUAGCGGUGGAAUGCGCAGAUAUCAGGAGGAACACCGGUGGCGAAGGCGGGUCUCUGGGCAGUAACUGACGCUGAGGAGCGAAAGCGUGGGGAGCGAACAGGAUUAGAUACCCUGGUAGUCCACGCCGUAAACGGUGGGUACUAGGUGUGGGUUUCCUUCCUUGGGAUCCGUGCCGUAGCUAACGCAUUAAGUACCCCGCCUGGGGAGUACGGCCGCAAGGCUAAAACUCAAAGGAAUUGACGGGGGCCCGCACAAGCGGCGGAGCAUGUGGAUUAAUUCGAUGCAACGCGAAGAACCUUACCUGGGUUUGACAUGCACAGGACGCCGGCAGAGAUGUCGGUUCCCUUGUGGCCUGUGUGCAGGUGGUGCAUGGCUGUCGUCAGCUCGUGUCGUGAGAUGUUGGGUUAAGUCCCGCAACGAGCGCAACCCUUGUCUCAUGUUGCCAGCGGGUAAUGCCGGGGACUCGUGAGAGACUGCCGGGGUCAACUCGGAGGAAGGUGGGGAUGACGUCAAGUCAUCAUGCCCCUUAUGUCCAGGGCUUCACACAUGCUACAAUGGCCGGUACAAAGGGCUGCGAUGCCGCGAGGCUUAGCGAAUCCUUUUAAAGCCGGUCUCAGUUCGGAUCGGGGUCUGCAACUCGACCCCGUGAAGUCGGAGUCGCUAGUAAUCGCAGAUCAGCAACGCUGCGGUGAAUACGUUCCCGGGCCU
rnacentral:rRNA from 1 species